GACGAACGCUGGCGGCGUGCUUAACACAUGCAAGUCGAACGGAAAGGCCUGCUUUCCCUUGUGUAUUGCGGGGGCUCGCGUGGCGAACGGGUGUGUAACACGUGAGUGAUCUGCCCCCAACUUGGGUAUAAGCCUGGGAAACUAGGUCUAAUUACCGAUAGGACUGCAGGGGGGUGGCUGUGGUGGAAAACGAGGUUCUAGUGGAUGGGGAUGAGCUCGCGGCGUAUCAGGUUGUGGGUGGGGUAAUGGCCGACCAAGGCGGCGACGGGUAGCCGGACUGGGAGCGUGGACGGCGGCAUUGGGACAGGGAUACGGCCCCGACGGGUGCGGGCAGCAGGAGUGUGGAAUAUAGGGCAGUGAGCGGGAGCCUGAUGCAGCGAGGCUGCGUGGGAGAUGACGGCGUUGGAGUUGUAAACUGCUUUCGACCAAGAGGAAGCCACCUGGUUGGGAGGGUAGUGACGGUAGUGAUAGAAGAAGCACCGGCUAACUACGUG
rnacentral:rRNA from 1 species